CCACAGCCUCCCUUCUCAGGACUCCUGUGACAUCACGAUCAAGGUCAAGAACAACGGAGGUAAACAGAGCAACGCUGAGGAGUCUGCCACGCCGCCCACGCCCACACAGUGCCCCCACGCCCACCCACCACCCCUGGUGCUGAUGCAGCAGCGAGGGUCUGAGGCGGGUGCCGUGCUGCGUCCUCACUGCCGCUGACUUCUGUUGCAGUGGAGGCUGCAGGGCCGGGCAGCAGCCUGAGGGGCCAGGACCAGCAGGAGCAGCCUGCCACAGCUGUGAAGAUCAGUGCCAGACCAUACAGUCCAGUACAGUGCAAUUACUUCAUACGUAGUUUGUGCCAAAGAAAAAAUUCAGUGCCAUAACUUUGAA